ensembl:lncRNA
CCUGUUUUCCUUAUAACCUUGCUCAUCUCUAGCAUGUAAAGAUACGUCUAAUAUUGUAUCAUUUCUAUGUACAUUUUGAGGGUUUAAAUCUUGGUUCACUGUUUUGUAGCUAUAUGGCCACUCUGGGUGUCAGUUUCCUUACUUACAAAGUGGGGUUUAAAAUGCUUUGCUCACAGAUAAGGGAUUAAAUUUGAUAUGCUAGCACAGUGUCUACCAUAUAGUGUACGUUAAAUGUGAGCACCCUGUCCUAUCUUUGCUGGGUGAGGCCCACUUCUAGUUUUCUAGGAUUUACUAGAAAAGUUCAUACCUUCUAGGAAUAUGUGGCCUCUGCUCAUAUUCCCUUACAACCUUCAUUUUACCAAACUAAAGGCUCUUAAUUCUUUUGUAAUUCCCACAUUCAAAUUUCUCAUCUCAGCUACCUUUCUCUGAAUUUUUUAGAAUUCACUUUAUUUUAGCAGGCAUCAAUUGAGGUACUAUGAGGUGAAGGGCAUUACAGUAGGUUCUGAAGUUACAAAUGAAAACAGCAUCCCUGUCCUCAUGAAGCUUACAGUCUAGGGUCACAAGUAGUAAACAGACAAAAAUUAGCAAUUUGACCUGCUAAGUUCUGUGAUAUUGGCAAGACUGUGCCUCCAUGAGAAUACAUAAGUGAAACAUCUAAAUCAACUGGGGAGGAUGGGAGAUUAGGGGAGCUUCCUAUUCUUGUAGGCUUUCUUGUAGGCUUUUCUCUAGAGGUGGCAAACAGAUCUGUGUCUGGGUUCCGGGUUUGGAUUGACCAAGAUGGCCUUAACAUUCCUCUCAGCUGGACUAAACUUUAGACAGGUUUCUUCCUGACUCGAGACCCCUGACCUUUGCUUACAUAGAGCAUUUACUUUAGAAAACUUGCAACUGUAAAUUCUUUCUCUGCUCCUUUAAUAUGUACACCUUCUAGCUUCUUGCCAGUUUUACAACCAAGGAAUGUCUUUCUCCAGGACCUGGGAGCCAUCUGUUUGAAAUGUAAUCAAGAAAGAUAGGACCCCCGUUCUCUGUGGGAGGAGAGAAGGCACCAGCUUGUGAAUCUCAAAGAGGGCCUUAACAGAAGACAACCAUGCUGCCACCUUGAUCUUGGACUUCCCAGCCUCCAGAACCGUCAGCAAUAAAUUUCGGUUGUUUAUAAACUACUCAGUUGGUAGUCUUUCAUUGUAGCAGCAAAAUAAGACUAAGACAGCAUCUUUCUCACCAGGGAAAUACUUUCUAGACAAAUACCUAGUAAAAUUAAUGUAUUACUUCAGCACAUACCAAGAUGCCAAAUGAGGGAAAGUCUGGAAACAGGAUGUCUGAAGAGUUUUAUCAUGAUCUACUCCCACAUACCUGAAGAGAUACUACACAUUUUCAUUAGUAUUAGCAGUGGUUUUCUUCAUGGCAGUGUGGACACCAGCAUUGCUGUUACUUACUACACCUAGAUGAGCUUGAAUGCCUCUCUCCUGUUUCUUGUUUGAGAAUUAUUCUAGGUAGUGUUGAAAGUUUGAUUUGGCUGAUCUUCAAACUGGUUAUUGUCAUAUGUGCCUAUACACUUGACUUUCAGGAACACUCCUCAUUACUCUCACAUCCCCCAGGGAAAUUUUAGAAGUGUAGAGCAAUGAAGAGUAGCUUAUCAUGAUGUGAAAAAAAAAUAAAGUGGAUUGUUGUUCAUUUGUUCAACAUCUCUGAGUAGUUGUCAUGUGCCAAGCAUUCAGGCAUCAUACUUUUGAUGCCAGAAAUAGUGAACAGUUCCUGCCUUGAAGUGGUCCAGCGAAGCUGGGGUGACUUUCAACUAGACAGAAUAGUACAAAUAGCGGGUUAAGUGCCAAGAUAGGGAGC